AUUGAACGCUGGCGGCAGGCCUAACACAUGCAAGUCGAGCGGAUGACGGGAGCUUGCUCCUUGAUUCAGCGGCGGACGGGUGAGUAAUGCCUAGGAAUCUGCCUGGUAGUGGGGGACCACGUUUCGAAAGGAACGCUAAUACCGCAUACGUCCUACGGGAGAAAGCAUGGGACCUUCGGGCCUUGCGCUAUCAGAUGAGCCUAGGUCGGAUUAGCUAGUUGGUGGGGUGAUGGCUCACCAAGGCGACGAUCCGUAACUGGUCUGAGAGGAUGAUCAGUCACACUGGAACUGAGACACGGUCCAGACUCCUACGGGAGGCAGCAGUGGGGAAUAUUGGACAAUGGGCGAAAGCCUGAUCCAGCCAUGCCGCGUGUGUGAAGAAGGUCUUCGGAUUGUAAAGCACUUUAAGUUGGGAGGAAGGGCAGUAAGCUAAUACCUUGCUGUUUUGACGUUACCGACAGAAUAAGCACCGGCUAACUCUGUGCCAGCAGCCGCAGUAA
rnacentral:rRNA from 1 species